ACCCAAGGUGAUUCCCUCUCCAAGGGGCGGGCUAGUGCCUUCUUCAGGAAAGUAGCAACUUGGAAUAAAAUCUGGCAUGCCACAGAUUUUGUGGGAGAAGGGGAUGUUUGUUUCCUUUGCUUCUCUUGGCUGCCUACAUGU